UGAAGGAUCAGGUGAGGUAAAAGCGCUGCCAUGCAGCGGGAGAAGCAGCAAUGCAGCCAGUGAUGCAUGCAUUCCCAUUAAUGCAGAAGCGGAAGCAUGCACAGGCGCUUGCAGGCCGAUCCCCGCAUUUUAUAAUUCACCCCAUAUUCACACUUAAUGUGGCCCUUCUGGCCAAUUCCUGUCUCAUUUCCAAACCAUUUGCCCCAAACCCGCCCCAA